UAAAGGAUGUGUCACAUUUUGAAGUUUUUCAUUUUACCAGCAUAAGGAAGGUUCGAGCUUUCCUUUUCCGCCUUUCUCUAUUCUCUCCUCUCUGCUGUUCUCUCUUCUUCACCGGUACAAGAAAACCAGACUGGUGACAUGCAAGUGGCAACCACCGACCGGAGCUUGGCGAAGCUGCUGGCAUUGCAUGGAGAAAACCCAAACCAUUUGCAGAAUACAUCGUCUCGCAGCUAUCGCGGGUGACAAGCAGCCUCACAGCCAUCACAAGUGACCAAGUUUUCAGGCCUAAGAUGGAAGAUUGGGUUGAGAAUGUUGGGGAGACCAUGACAGAUUAUCAAUGAUUUGAAAAAUGUAAGUGGGGGAGAUGUGGACCUAGAUUGCCUAUUUGUCUCUACCCAUUUACAUACUUUAUACACACAUAAUUUCUUGACAAUGAUAUCAUCUCAUAAAGUGCAAAAAGAAUUGUAUAGAA